rnacentral:rRNA from 1 species
AACGAACGCUGGCGGCAUGCCUAACACAUGCAAGUCGAACGAUGCCUUCGGGCAUAGUGGCGCACGGGUGCGUAACGCGUGGGAAUCUGCCUUUCGGUUCGGAAUAACUCAGGGAAACUUGAGCUAAUACCGGAUAACGUCGCAAGACCAAAGAUUUAUCACCGAAAGAUGAGCCCGCGUAGGAUUAGCUAGUUGGUGAGGUAAAGGCUCACCAAGGCGACGAUCCUUAGCUGGUCUGAGAGGAUGAUCAGCCACACUGGGACUGAGACACGGCCCAGGCUCCUACGGGAGGCAGCAGUGGGGAAUAUUGGACAAUGGGCGAAAGCCUGAUCCAGCAAUGCCGCGUGAGUGAUGAAGGCCUUAGGGUUGUAAAGCUCUUUUACCCGGGAAGAUAAUGACGGUACCGGGAGAAUAAGCCCCGGCUAACUCCGUG